rnacentral:rRNA from 1 species
AGAGUUUGAUCCUGGCUCAGAUUGAACGCUGGCGGCAGGCCUAACACAUGCAAGUCGAACGGUAGCACAGAGGAGCUUGCUCCUUGGGUGACGAGUGGCGGACGGGUGAGUAAUGUCUGGGAAACUGCCCGAUGGAGGGGGAUAACUACUGGAAACGGUAGCUAAUACCGCAUAACGUCUUCGGACCAAAGUGGGGGACCUUCGGGCCUCACACCAUCGGAUGUGCCCAGAUGGGAUUAGCUAGUAGGUGGGGUAAUGGCUCACCUAGGCGACGAUCCCUAGCUGGUCUGAGAGGAUGACCAGCCACACUGGAACUGAGACACGGUCCAGACUCCUACGGGAGGCAGCAGUGGGGAAUAUUGCACAAUGGGCGCAAGCCUGAUGCAGCCAUGCCGCGUGUAUGAAGAAGGCCUUCGGGUUGUAAAGUACUUUCAGCGGGGAGGAAGGCGAUGUGGUUAAUAACCGCAUCGAUUGACGUUACCCGCAGAAGAAGCACCGGCUAACUCCGUGCCAGCAGCCGCGGUAAUACGGAGGGUGCAAGCGUUAAUCGGAAUUACUGGGCGUAAAGCGCACGCAGGCGGUCUGUCAAGUCGGAUGUGAAAUCCCCGGGCUUAACCUGGGAACUGCAUUCGAAACUGGCAGGCUAGAGUCUUGUAGAGGGGGGUAGAAUUCCAGGUGUAGCGGUGAAAUGCGUAGAGAUCUGG